UCGAACGAUGAAGCUGGAGCUUGCUCCAGUGGAUUAGUGGCGAACGGGUGAGUAACACGUGAGCAAUCUGCCCUUGACUCUGGGAUAACUGCGGGAAACUGUAGCUAAUACCGGAUACGACACCUUGGGGCAUCCCAGGGUGUGGAAAGAAUUUCGGUCAAGGAUGAGCUCGCGGCCUAUCAGCUAGUUGGUGAGGUGAUGGCUCACCAAGGCGACGACGGGUAGCCGGCCUGAGAGGGUGACCGGCCACACUGGAACUGAGAUACGGUCCAGACUCCUACGGGAGGCAGCAGUGGGGAAUAUUGCACAAUGGGCGCGAGCCUGAUGCAGCAACGCCGCGUGAGGGAUGAAGGCCUUCGGGUUGUAAACCUCUUUUAGCAGGGAAGAAGCGAAAGUGACGGUACCUGCAGAAAAAGCACCGGCUAACUACGUGCCAGCAGCCGCGGUAAUACGUAGGGUGCAAGCGUUGUCCGGAAUUAUUGGGCGUAAAGAGCUCGUAGGCGGUUUGUCGCGUCUGCUGUGAAAAUCCAAGGCUCAACCUUGGACCUGCAGUGGGUACGGGCAGACUAGAGUGCGGUAGGGGAGAUGGGAAUUCCUGGUGUAGCGGUGGAAUGCGCAGAUAUCAGGAGGAACACCAAUGGCGAAGGCACAUCUCUGGGCCGUAACUGACGCUGAGGAGCGAAAGCGUGGGGAGCGAACAGGAUUAGAUACCCUGGUAGUCCACGCCGUAAACGGUGGGUGCUAGUUGUGGGCCACAUUCCACGUGGUCCGUGACGAAGUUAACACAUUAAGCACCCCGCCUGGGGAGUAUGGUCGCAAGGC
rnacentral:rRNA from 1 species